UGUACAUGUCAUUGCCGUUCCACUCAGAGAAAAUCUCUUCUUCUUCACCAUUUCUCUGAAAAGUAUUUGAAUUUGCGUCUCGUCGAUCCCAAACCAUUGUCUCAUUCUCGCUGUAAUUGGAUUUCUGUUAAACGGAGAGUUAUCACGGCCGUUGCACGAGCUGAAUCAAAUCAAAUUGGUGAUGAUGGCAACUCAAAGGAGGAACACGGCAGAGAUCAAGAAUUGCAAAAUGUUGAAGAAGAUUCGAGUUUCGAUUCUCAGGAGCAGAAGUCUAGAAGCCAGUUUAAGAAAAGAGUAGUUUGAGGUGAGUCUUGUUCCGCUUAACAGUGAGGGGUCAUGAGAUUGAUAUGGAAUCGAAACUGAAGUUUCAAGGUGGAUGUGAUAUAUGGAUGGUGAGAUGUGUUUGCAGUGCUAGAGAUGAUGAUGGUGAGAGAAUGAUAGCAUGUGAUGUAUGUGAGAUAUGGCAGCACACAAGAUGUUGUGGGAUUGAUGAUACAGAUACUUUGCCUCCACUUUUUGUUUGUUCUAAUUGUUGUGAAGAAUUUGCAGAGCAACAGAAGAAAGUGUUGCAGCCAAAGUAUGAGUUUCCAAGUGCAGAGAAUGUGUUUCUGAUUGAAUCAGGUGAUGAUUACUUUGGAGGAGAUGAGAGAUCUCUUGGUAUGAUUUUUCCUGAAGAAAACUUUCUCUUACAAAACCCCUUUUUGGAUCAAACAUUGUGGAUAAAUCAAUUCUUUUGUAAAUGAAACAUGAUUGUAUA